rnacentral:rRNA from 1 species
AUGAAGCCAAAAACUGGUAUUGAAUGGAAGAAGAUACAUGAAGACCACAUAAUUAGAUGGGGUUGCUUGGUGUGGCGGUGGGUGGCAGAGGGUCACUCAAGGGAUAUUCAUGGCAUGACUGUCGUUGAACUCUGUGGGAGGUACUUUGAUGAGCUCUUGGAUAGGAGUAUGAUCCUGCCAGGGGAAGGGACAGACCAUUACAGUCGAAAAAUCAAUUCUUACCAACUUCUUGAUAUAAUCCGUGAAAUAUGCAUCUCAAAAGCUAGGGAGGAGAAGCUUGUUUUCACGCUGGAGGAAGGUUGUUGUUUGAACGAGACACAAGGUGCAAUACGUCAUCUUGUGAUAGGCAACAAUUGGGAAAGGGAUAAAGAUUUGUUAGAGAGGAUGCUAGACUUGUCACACAUAUGGUCAUUCCUAGAGUGGACAUCGUUUUUCAUCUCGGACAAUAUGAGCUAUACAAGCAAUGAGUUGUGGUCUGCCAUUGCUGGUCUCAAUCAACUUCAAUAUUUGACGGUUACAGCAAAGGACGUGAUCAGAGAGAGGAACGUGUUAGAUGUUUGUUUGGGUGAAAGUUUGUUGCCACCAAGCAGCCUCGUGAGCCUCACUCUGGUUGGUAUGCUAGUCAGUGUAGCAGAAUGGAUCCAUAAGAUUGAGAUUCUCUCCAAAUUGGUGCUAGAGUGUACCGAAUUGAAGAAAGAUGAUAAUGCCAUACAGGCCAUUGGGUCUCUACCUAAUCUUUCAGUUCUGCGCCUUAAGUGGGAGUCAUUUGCGGGGAAACAGCUCCAUUUCCAGAGCUCAUCUUUCCCGAGUCUCAUGGUGCUGCAGCUUGAUGGGUUAUACAAGGUCCAGUCAGUGUUGUUCGAAGAAGAUGCAACGCCUAAGCUCAAGCUGCUACAAGUUGGUCGGUGUUGGAAACUUAAUGCAUUAUCCGGGCUGCCAGCCCUCAAAAGCCUCAAGGAAAUUCGGUUGGAUGCCCGUAGAAGUGAAACAUUGAAGGCAUCGGUGCAGAAGGAGUCAGGUCAUUAUCAGGAGGAGCUGCAAGACAUGAUCGUGACUCAUGAGGGUACAAUCGUAGAGUUCAUUUAUCCAGAGCUGACACGGAGUGCACUAACUAAGGGAUUACGGAUAUGUGAGUUUGCAUCUGAAGCUAUCACGCGGUGUCCAGAAAUGCAUACUCCCCUGGCAAGAAUGAUCCGGCUCAUGCUGGGUCAAGGGGAAGAUGAAAUCAUGCAACUAAGCUCCUUCACAUCUUUAUCGGCGCCGCUCCUCCCCUCCACUCCUCCUCCUCCUCCUCCUCCUUCCUUGUCGCUGCCAGAGGGUGGGGCUAGGAGAAGCCUCGUUCGCCGCCACCGCAUGCAGGGAAGCUGGCACGGGCCGGCCAUCCCGGCUCUAGCCAUGGAGUUCUAG